rnacentral:rRNA from 1 species
UAGGGAAUCUUCGGCAAUGGACGAAAGUCUGACCGAGCAACGCCGCGUGAGUGAAGAAGGUUUUCGGAUCGUAAAACUCUGUUGUUAGAGAAGAACAAGGACGUUAGUAACUGAACGUCCCCUGACGGUAUCUAACCAGAAAGCCACGGCUAACUACGUGCCAGCAGCCGCGGUAAUACGUAGGUGGGAAGCGUUGUCCGGAUUUAUUGGGCGUAAAGCGAGCGCAGGCGGUUUCUUAAGUCUGAUGUGAAAGCCCCCGGCUCAACCGGGGAGGGUCAUUGGAAACUGGGAGACUUGAGUGCAGAAGAGGAGAGUGGAAUUCCAUGUGUAGCGGUGAAAUGCGUAGAUAUAUGGAGGAACACCAGUGGCGAAGGCGGCUCUCUGGUCUGUAACUGACGCUGAGGCUCGAAAGCGUGGGGAGCAAACAGG